GGUCGGGUGGCGGGAUUUAAAUUAAAUAAACAGAAAACUAAGGUUUUGGGGAAAAAUUUGACUGAUACAGAGUCAGAACGGUUUCAGAAUGAGACGGAACUUAAUGUGGUUAAAAAGUAAAAUACCUAGGGGUAAACAUAACAGCAAAAAUCUAAGUCUAUUUAAGGAUAACUAUGAAAAAUGUUGGACAGAAAUUAAGAGAGACUUAGACAGUUGGUCAAAAUUGAAACUUUCUUUGUUAGGCCGAAUUGCUGCUAUUAAGAUGAAUGUAUUGCCAAGGAUGUUGUUUUUAUUUCAAACACUUCAGGUUUUGGACAAAACGGAGUGCUUUCAGAAGUGGCAGAGAGAUAUUUCGAAGUUUGUCUGGCAGGGCAAAAAGCCCAGAAUCAAGUUUAAGAUAUUAACUGAUGUAAAACAAAGAGGGGCUUUGCCCUGCCGGACUUAAAGUUGUAUUAUGAAGCCGCAGCGUUCUGCUGGCUAAAAGACUGGCUACUUCUUGAAGACACUGAUGUGUUGGACUUGGAAGGGUUUAAUAAUGUUUUUGGAUGGCAUGCAUAUUUAUGGUAUGACAAAGUUAAAGCAAAUAAGGCCUUCAAGAACCAUAUUGUCAGAAAAUCAUUGUAUAAUGUCUGGACAAAAUAUAAAGACUUGCUGGAAAAUAAAACACCAAGGUGGCUUUCACCUUUGGAAGCUAAGGCCUGAAAAAGACCCAAUAUGGAGGCUAAAUGGCCAAAAUAUUGGGAAAUACUAGAAAAGAUGGAGACAAUUGGAAAUUGCAGAGUUUGGAGAAAAUGAAAGACAAAGUGCGAGAUUGGUUACAUUACGCUCAGAUUAAAGAAGUUUUUAAAAAUGAUAAGAAACUAGGGUUCCAGGUGGAGAAAUCGAAAUUAGAAACAGAAUUGUUAGAACCAAAGACUAAGGUACUUUCAAGGAUGUAUAACUUGCUGUUGGAAUGGAAUACACAAGAUGAAAUGGUUAAAUCGGCUAUGAUAAGGUGGGCACAGGACAUUGGGUAUAAUAUUAUGUUUGAGGACUGGGAAAAGUUGUGGAGUAAUGGAUUGAAAUUUACUGCAUGUAACGCUCUGAAAGAAAAUGUAAUGAAAAUGAUUUAUAGAUGGUAUAUGACCCCAGUUAAACUUGCAAAAAUUUACCACCUGUCUGAUAAUAAGUGUUGGAAAUGUAAAGAGUGUGAGGGAACGUUCUUCCACCUCUGGUGGACCUGCCCUAAAGUGAAGGCGUUCUGGGAAAUGAUUUAUAAUGAAUUGAAAAAGGUAUUUAAAUAUACCUUUACCAAGAAACCAGAGGCUUUCCUUCUGGGUAUUGUCAGCCAAGGGGUGGCAAAGAAGGACCAGACAUUUUUUAUGUAUGCAACAACAGCAGCAAGGAUACUUCUUGCAAAACAUUGGAAAACUCAAGAUUUACCCACACUGGAAGAAUGGCAGAUGCAACUGAUAGACUACAUGGAACUGGCUGAAAUGACCGGCAGAAUCCGUGACCUGGGAGAAGAGAGAAUCGAGGAGGAUUGGAAGAAAUUUAAGAACUAUCUACAAAAAUAUUGUGAUUUGAGUGAAUGCUAAAUAAGAUGCUAGACUAAAUAACUGAGCACCACUUAACUUAGAAGUUUUUAAGAAAAUAAGUAAGACUGUGAAAGUUUAACUCUUUAUGAGAACUAUAAGAUUAUGAAACAUUGAAGAGAUAUAAGAAUUUAAAUAAGAUGAUAAAUUGCUGACAAAAUGUUAUAACGAUGAAAGUGGGAGCGGGGGAUGUGAGGAAGUCCAAAGAAAAUGUGAAACUAUGUUAAGACAAAUGUUAUAUUGUUUAUUAUGUUUAUUUUUAUUGUAAAACCCAAUAAAUUGCUUUAAAAAAAAAA